rnacentral:rRNA from 1 species
UACGUAGGGGGCAAGCGUUGUUCGGAAUUACUGGGCGUAAAGGGCGCGUAGGCGGCCACCGCAAGUCAGUUGUGAAAUCUCUGGGCUUAACCCAGAACGGUCAGCUGAUACUGCGGGGCUAGAGUGCAGAAGGGGCAACUGGAAUUCUCGGUGUAGCGGUGAAAUGCGUAGAUAUCAGGAGGAAUACCGGUGGUGUAGACGGCUCUCUGGACCGUAACUGACACUGAGACACGAAAGCGUGGGUAGCAAACAGG